UCCUAUUUAAAUAUUUGCAUAAUGCAUCAACAUAUCCUCCUUUUGAGGAGCUUUUCUUUUUUCCUAUAGAUCUCCAGAAAAUGUUGAUCACCAGUUUUAAGCUGCAGGAGGUGGAAAUAGCUUGAGAGUUAUUUUUGCUAAGGUUUCAGAUGCUGAAGAGCUCUCUAAGAAAGUCUAAUGCAAUGGUUCCCAGCAGAAGGCCUAAUGGAUGGGAAGAAUCUCCUUGUGGAAGCAGAAAUGCAGAAAACUGUGCAGAGAGGGGAAUAAGCACUCCACAUUCUGAAGAAGAGAAGAUGGGGUCCCAGAAGCAUGUACAACUUGCAGUACAGAAAGCAGCUAACAAAUUUGGUUUUUCUUCCUUAAAUUGUAUCUUAUCCUCAGCCCACUCAUGAGGAUGCCA